rnacentral:rRNA from 1 species
AUGUGACCUCAAAUCAGGUAGGACUACCCGCUGAACUUAAGCAUAUCAAUAAGCGGAGGAAAAGAAACUAACAAGGAUUCCCCUAGUAACUGCGAGUGAAGCGGGAAAAGCUCAAAUUUAAAAUCUGGCAGUCUUUUGGCUGUCCGAGUUGUAAUCUAGAGAAGUGCUAUCCGCGCUGGACCGU